rnacentral:lncRNA from 1 species
GUUUUACCAUGUAGGCCAGGCUGGUCUUGAACUUCCAACCUCAAGUGAUCCGCCCACCUCAGCCUCCCAAAGUGCUGGGAUUACAGGCAUGAGCCACCAGGAUUUUCUAAGUAUAGAAUUAUAUCAUCAGUGAAGAGACAUAGUUGGACUUCUUUGCUUAUUUAAAUGCCUUUUAUUUCUUUCUCUAGCCUGAUUGCUCUGGCAAGGACUUCCAUCACUGUGUUGAAUACGAGUGUUGAGAGUGGGCAUCCUUGUCUUGCUCCAAGAUAAAAGGUAAAUAGUUUAAGCUUUUAUCCAUUCAUUAUGAUGUUGGAUUUCAAUUUGUUAUAAAUGGUUCUUAUUAUUAUGAAGUACAUUGCUUGACACCUAGUCUGUUGGAGUUUUUAUCAUGAAAGGAUGUUGGAUUUUUAUCAGAAGCUUUUUCUGCACCUAUUGAGAUGAUCAUAUAGUUGUGCUUUUAAUUCUGUUUAUGUGGUGAAUCACACUUAUUGAUUUGCAUAUACUGAGCCAGCCUUGCAGUCCAGGAAUAAGCCUGUUUGAUCACACUGUAUUAACUUUUUGUUGUGCUGUUGGAUUUGUUUUGCUAAUAUUUUGAUGAGGAUUUUUGUGUCUAUGUUCAUAAGGGAUAUUGGCCUUAAGAUUUCUUUUUUUGUUGUGUCUUUGCCAGAUUCUGGUAUCAGGCUAAUGCUGGCUAGAUAGAAUGAAUUACAGAGGAGACCCUCCUCCUCGAUUUCUUUGGAAUAGUUUCAGUAGGCUUAGUAUCAGUUCUUUGAAUAUCUGGUAGAAUUCAGCCAUGAAUUCAUCUGGUCCAGGGGUUUUUUUUUUUUUUUUUGGUUGGUAGGUUCUUUAUUAUGAUUUAAUUUCAGAAGCUGAUAUUGGUCUACUUAGGAUUUCAAUCUCUUCCUGAUGCAAUUUUGGGAGAUUGUACACUUUCAGGAAUUUUUCCAUUUUCCCUAAAUUUUCUAAUUUGUGUGCAUAGAGUUAUUCAUGGUAGUCUCUGAGGAUCUUUUGUAUUUCUGUGGAAUCAGUUGUCAUACAAUCUUUGUUGAUUCUGAUUGUGCUUAUUUGGAUUUUAUCUUUCUUUUUCUUUGUUAAUCUAGCUAGUGGUCUAUCAA